rnacentral:rRNA from 1 species
GAUGAACGCUGGCGGCGUGCCUAAUACAUGCAAGUCGAGCGAACAGACGAGAGUGCUUGCACUCUCUGACGUUAGCGGCGGACGGGUGAGUAACACGUGGGUAACCUACCUAUAAGACUGGGAUAACUUCGGGAAACCGGAGCUAAUACCGGAUAAUAUUUAGCUUCGCAUGAAGCAAUAGUGAAAGACGGUUCUGCUGUCACUUAUAGAUGGACCCGCGGUGUAUUAGCUAGUUGGUGAGGUAACGGCUCACCAAGGCAACGAUACAUAGCCGACCUGAGAGGGUGGUCGGCCACACUGGGACUGAGACACGGCCCAGACUCCUACGGGAGGCAGCAGUAGGGAAUCUUCCGCAAUGGACGAAAGUCUGACGGAGCAAUGCCGCGUGAGUGAAGAAGGUUUUCGGAUCGUAAAACUCUGUUGUAAGGGAAGAACAAGUACGUUAGUAACUGAACGUACCUUGACGGUACCUCACCAGAAAGCCACGGCUAACUACGUG